CAGUUCGGAUUGGAGUCUGCAACUCGACUCCAUGAAGCUGGAUUCGCUAGUAAUCGCGCAUCAGCCAUGGCGCGGUGAAUACGUUCCCGGGCCUUGUACACACCGCCCGUCAAGCCAUGGGAGUCGGGAGUGCCUGAAGUUCGUGACCGUCACAGGAGCGACCUAAGGCAAGACCGAUGACUGGGGCUAAGUCGUAACAAGGUACC
rnacentral:rRNA from 1 species